UACGGAGGGGGCGAGUGUUGUUCGGAAUUACUGGGCGUAAAGGGCGCGCAGGCGGCCUGGCAAGUCGAGUGUGAAAUCCCUUGGCUUAACUGAGGAAUGGCGCUCGAAACUACCUCGCUGGUGGGCGGGAGAGGGAAGUGGAACUCUCGGUGUAGGGGUGAAAUCUGUAGAUAUCGAGAGGAACACCGGUGGCGAAGGCGGCUUCCUGGCCCGUACCUGACGCUGAGGCGCGAAAGCCAGGGGAGCGAACGGG
rnacentral:rRNA from 1 species